GACGAACGCUGGCGGCGUGCUUAACACAUGCAAGUCGAACGGAAAGGCCCUGCUUUUGUGGGGUGCUCGAGUGGCGAACGGGUGAGUAACAAGUGAGUAACCUGCCCUUGACUUUGGGAUAACUUCCGGAAACUGGGGCUAAUACCGGCUAGGAGCUCCUGCUGCAUGGUGGGGGUUGGAAAGUUUCGGCGGUUGGGGAUGGACUCGCGGCUUAUCAGCUUGUUGGUGGGGUAGUGGCUUACCAAGGCUUUGACGGGUAGCCGGCCUGAGAGGGUGACCGGCCACAUUGGGACUGAGAUACGGCCCAGACUCCUACGGGAGGCAGCAGUGGGGAAUAUUGCACGAUGGGCGGAAGCCUGAUGCAGCAACGCCGCGUGCGGGAUGACGGCCUUCGGGUUGUAAACCGCUUUCGCCUUUGACGAAGCGUGAGUGACGGUAAUGGGUAAAGAAGCACCGGCUAACUACGUG
rnacentral:rRNA from 1 species